rnacentral:lncRNA from 1 species
UAAGGAAGCUUCAUGCAAAACACCCAAAAUAAACCAUGCACCUACCAGUGUCAGCACUCCACUCAGCCCAGGGUCCGUUUCUUCAGCUGCCAGUCAGUAUAAAGACUGCCUUGAAAGUAUCACAUUUCAGGUUAAGACAGAGUUUGCCUCUUGCUGGAACAGUCAAGAAUUUAUUCAAACUUUGUCUGAUGACUUUAUAAGUGUCCGAGAGAGAGCAAAGAAACUGGAUUCUCUCCUUACUUCCUCUGAAACUCCCCCUUCAAGACUGACUGGUCUUAAAAGAUUGUCUUCAUUUAUUGGGGCUGGAUCCCCCAGCCUUGUUAAGGCAUGUGACUCAUCACCACCCCAUGCCACCCAGAGAAGGAGCCUGCCUAAAGUAGAAGCCUUCUCACAGCAUCACAUUGAUGAGCUGCCACCACCAUCUCAGGAGCUACUUGAUGACAUUGUUGCUGUGUAAACCUUCCAUUCACCUCCUCCAUUUCAGCAGCUGUGUUACCAGACUUUGUCCUGGGCUCUGGCCUUAUGGUGCUGCUGCACCCCAGCACAGUCUGCAGAAGCCUUCCCUCAUUUCACUUAUGGGAAUUAUCUGGACCAGGUUUCUAGAGCUCUUGAAACAGCAGCAGGGCUCAUCCACGGUGUUGCAUGAGAACACAGCAAGUGAUGGAGGAGGCACUGC